rnacentral:rRNA from 1 species
GAUGAACGCUAGCGGCAGGCUUAAUACAUGCAAGUCGAGGGGUAGCAAGAUUGUAGCAAUACAAUUGUUGACGACCGGCAAACGGGUGCGGAACACGUACACAACCUUCCUACAAGUGGGGAAUAGCCCAGAGAAAUUUGGAUUAAUACCCCGUAACAUAGCGAUGUGGCAUCACAUUGCUAUUAUAGCUUCGGCGCUUGUUGAUGGGUGUGCGGCUGAUUAGAUAGUUGGCGGGGUAACGGCCCACGAAGUCUACGAUCAGUAGCUGAUGUGGGGUGGUGAUCAGCCAGAGGGGCAGGGAGAAAUGGGCCCGACUCCUACGGGAGGCAGCAGUAAGGAAUAUUGGGCAAUGGACGCAAGUCUGAUCCAGCCAUGACGCGUGAGGGAGUGAGGUCCUCUGGAUUGUAAACGUCUUUGAUAAGGGGCGAGAGAAGGUCUUUCUAGGUCGUCUGACGGUACCUUAUGAAUAAGCACCGGCUAACUCCGUGCCAGCCGCCGCGGUAAGGC